rnacentral:lncRNA from 1 species
CUGGCAACUGAUACUCUCAAUCUGGCUUGCAGACAGAAAGGCAGUGUGGAAGUGUCUUCAUGAAGGAAACCAACUUUGGAGCUGCCUGGGAAUUGGAUCAUCUUUAAGAAGAGGUUGAGGGAAUCUAAAGAGUCAGAAUUAUUCCUUCUACCAUCUCCUGGGGGAGGAAGGAAGAUAUACCUUGGAGGAAAUAUACUGUUGCCCACAAUCAGAGAAACAAAUCAGAAGCUUACAUAUCUAGAAGACUCAGCUAAAAUACUGCCUCCUCUACCAUAAAACUGUCCCCAACAACCCCAGCUGAAAGUGACCUCUCUUCACUAUGAACUCUUUAGGUUUCUCCCUCCUUCGUGAUGCAUUGCUGAUACAGAAUCCUAAGGAGAAAGCCUCCCAAUCCAGCCCCACUCUAAAUCAGGUAGGUUACCAAAAUGGAAACUAA